GUCUAUGGCUAUACCACCCUGAAUGUGCCUGACCUCCUUUGAUCUGGGAAGCUAAGCAGGGUCAGGCCUGGUUAGUACUUAGAUGGGAGACAAAUAAGACCAUGUUCCUGCAGAAG
ensembl:rRNA nuclear encoded rRNA 5S 217